CUUUCAAUGGUCAGAAUUUCUUUUUCUAUUGUUUGCUCAUUUCCUGCUAUUUCUUGACUUUUAAUUCUAUGCUAAUGUAGUGCUCUGCUUCCCAAGUAGAAGGGGCAUUGUCCCAAGCAUCAGGUUUUUUUGUGUAGUUUUUUAGAAAUUUUUGUGCAGAUCUGUAAAUUUUUGAAUCUUCAAAGGUAAUAUGAUCUAAGAAGAAGUGUGCAUAUUACUCUUUUCAAACCUGGAGUUAUAACCAGAGUUCCUGCUCCUCUGUGGCCUCAAGCUGUUCGAUGCUAGUACUCCUCCUUGUACUGAAACCAAACCUCAGAAUUACGUUCCAAAUCUACAUAUAGGCAAAGUAACAGAGUCCUGCUUCUAACAGCAAAGGAACCCUUAUAAUCCUCUUCGGUUCAGUUAUUUUAUCCCCUUUUUGUCCGUGGACUGAGAAGUCUAGAAACCACUGCUGUUGCUACUGAGUCAGUCACCACAGAUCUGCUCUAGGCAAACUGAACCUCAACCUUGAUCAAGAAGCAAAUUGGAAGGUGGACAUUUGGGAUUUGGACAACUUACGGCCACUCUGCUUAUUUUAAUGCACUCAAGUGAGUAGGAUUGUAUAAUGGAUUUCUUCCCUUCUUCAACUUCCCCCACCUCUGGUCUUAAUCCCUCAGGCUUUAGUAAAAAGGGAAAAAAAAAAGAAAAAAAGGGUCCACUUUUAAAUUAUUCUAAAAGCAAUGAAGGCAUUAAUGAUUGAGAAGAGAAAUCAUUGUGGGGAGUGGGGCUGCCUUUCUCAUUACUACCAGCGACAAUUGCUGGUCAAAUAUCAUCAAAGCGAUAGGCACAGGAACAUAUGGGGUGGCAACAGUUCCCAGACCAUAAGUCUUGUUUUAAACCUCACCACAUCUACCCAUCCCCCACCCAUAAGACUGGAAACAACUUCUAUAGAAAAAGGGCCAGCCAACCCAACCCUUUACCACCCACAUGGCAGACAAGCCAGCCUACCUGAAGCAGCAAGGCACUCUCAGAAGAUACAGGAAGCCAUAUGUGUCAGACAACUGAAAGCACUGACACCAAUCACCUUGACCACCAUCUCCCCUCUGACCCUAAUGAAGACAACUCAGGGGCCUGAACCCAAGAGCCUAGUGAAGAGCAAUGUUUCCAACUCAGUGCCCUCAGUCAUACAACCCCUGUGGAGAUGCAGCCUGCUUCUGCAGGUGCUACAGUAACAGUUAUUGAAGACCAAGAAAAGAGAA